AUGGGAACGCGAAGAACCUUACCUACUCUUGACAUCCAGAGAACUUAGCAGAGAUGCUUUGGUGCCUUCGGGAACUCUGAGACAGGUGCUGCAUGGCUGUCGUCAGCUCGUGUUGUGAAAUGUUGGGUUAAGUCCCGCAACGAGCGCAACCCUUAUCCUUUGUUGCCAGCGGUUCGGCCGGGAACUCAAAGGAGACUGCCAGUGAUAAACUGGAGGAAGGUGGGGAUGACGUCAAGUCAUCAUGGCCCUUACGAGUAGGGCUACACACGUGCUACAAUGGCAUAUACAAAGAGAAGCGACCUCGCGAGAGCAAGCGGACCUCAUAAAGUGCGUCGUAGUCCGGAUUGGAGUCUGCAACUCGACUCCAUGAAGUCGGAAUCGCUAGUAAUCGUAGAUCAGAA
rnacentral:rRNA from 1 species